rnacentral:rRNA from 1 species
CGUAGGUGGCGAGCGUUGUCCGGAAUUACUGGGUGUAAAGGGCGUGUAGGCGGGGAUGUAAGUCAGAUGUGAAAUGCCGAGGCUUAACUUCGGAGCUGCAUCUGAAACUACGUUUCUUGAGUGUCGGAGAGGAAAGCGGAAUUCCCAGUGUAGCGGUGAAAUGCGUAGAUAUUGGGAGGAACACCAGUGGCGAAGGCGGCUUUCUGGACGAUAACUGACGCUGAGGCGCGAAAGCGUGGGGAGCAAACAGGAUUAGAUACCCUGGUAGUCCACGCUGUAAACGAUGGAUACUAGGUGUAGGAGGUAUCGACCCCUUCUGUGCCGCAGUUAACACAAUAAGUAUCCCACCUGGGGAGUACGGCCGCAAGGUUG